rnacentral:rRNA from 1 species
GACGUAGGUGGCGAGCGUUAUUCGGAAUUACUAGGCGUAAAGCGAGUGUAGGCGGAUGCUUAAGUCUGCAGUGAAAUCUCCCGGCUCAACCGGGAGGGGUCUGUAGAUACUGGGCGUCUUGAAUUGGGUAGGGGGGAUCAGAAUUCCCGGUGUAGCGGUGAAAUGCGCAGAUAUCGGGAAGAAUACCGGUGGCGAAGGCGGAUCCCUGGACCUGGAUUGACGCUGAGACUCGAAAGCUAGGGGAGCAAACAGG